UUUAUGAAUGCUUUAGAUUAAUAAGGAGUGUAUUUCUCGACCAUUACUCCUCAAUAACAGAUCAAUUUGGUUUAAUGUAUAGUAUGCAAUAUGACAAUAAUGUUUUCAUGUUAUGGAGUUGCGAUUCAUUUUAUAAAACAAUUGCUAUGUUCUGUUUUUUAAUCAAGGAGGAUCCAAGUGAAGCUACAGGAGUUUCAUUAACGUCAAUAACUUGGACCGAACAGUUUGUUUUGCUUGAUGAAGAGGAGGAAGGGCAGCCUGGAGAGAAAGAGAAGCCGGGUUGAGCCCACUUCCAUCAUCCACGUACCACAAGGAAGAUGAGGGGGAGAAAUUAUCCUACCAUUAAAGAGGUAGUACUGACGCAUUUAUGGAGAUGGGACAUGAGGGCCUUGUCUGCGUGCUCAAGAGAAGAUUCCACAGAGUUCAAGCUGAGCAGGCUGCAGCAGGUUUGGAGGAAUCCUCCUCUGAAGAGGAAACAUGGCGAAGUACUUCUCCACUGAUGAAGAAAUUUAUUCUCAAGAGAAGCUGCCUCAGCUCCACGG